rnacentral:rRNA from 1 species
AUACGGAGGAUCCGAGCGUUAUCCGGAUUUAUUGGGUUUAAAGGGUGCGUAGGCGGACGUUCAAGUCAGCGGUGAAAGUUCAUGGCUCAACCAUGGAAUUGCCGUUGAAACUGGAUGUCUUGAGUGUAGAUGAGGUAGGCGGAAUUCGUAGUGUAGCGGUGAAAUGCUUAGAUAUUACGAAGAACUCCGAUUGCGUAGGCAGCUUACUAGGCUACAACUGACGCUGAGGCACGAAGGUGCGGGUAUCAAACAGGAUUAGAUACCCUGGUAGUCCGCACAGUAAACGAUGAAUACUAGCUGUUUGCGAUAUACGGUAAGUGGCAAAGCGAAAGCAUUAAGUAUUCCACCUGGGGAGUACGCCGGCAACGGUGAA